AGACCCGAAACCCGGUGAUCUAGCCAUGGGCAGGUUGAAGGUUGGGUAACACUAACUGGAGGACCGAACCGACUAAUGUUGAAAAAUUAGCGGAUGACCUGUGGCUGGGGGUGAAAGGCCAAUCAAACCGGGAGAUAGCUGGUUCUCCCCGAAAGCUAUUUAGGUAGCGCCUCGUGAAUUCAUCUCCGGGGGUAGAGCACUGUUUCGGCUAGGGGGCCAUCCCGGCUUACCAACCCGAUGCAAACUGCGAAUACCGGAGAAUGUUAUCACGGGAGACACACGGCGGGUGCUAACGUCCGUCGUGAAGAGGGAAACAACCCAGACCGCCAGCUAAGGUCCCAAAGUCAUGGUUAAGUGGGAAACGAUGUGGGAAGGCCCAGACAGCCAGGAUGUUGGCUUAGAAGCAGCCAUCAUUUAAAGAAAGCGUAAUAGCUCACUGGUCGAGUCGGCCUGCGCGGAAGAUGUAACGGGGCUAAACCAUGCACCGAAGCUGCGGCAGCGAACGUAUCACCCAAGACAACUUUACGGAGUUGACGAUUGACGGAGCGAAGCGACGUCAAAGCGUUCAUUAAAGUCGAGUUGGCUUAGGGAUACGUUCGUUGGGUAGGGGAGCGUUCUGUAAGCCUGUGAAGGUGUGUCGUGAGGCAUGCUGGAGGUAUCAGAAGUGCGAAUGCUGACAUAAGUAACGAUAAAGCGGGUGAAAAGCCCGCUCGCCGGAAGACCAAGGGUUCCUGUCCAACGUUAAUCGGGGCAGGGUGAGUCGACCCCUAAGGCGAGGCCGAAAGGCGUAGUCGAUGGGAAACGGGUUAAUAUUCCCGUACUUGGUGUUACUGCGAAGGGGGGACGGAGAAGGCUAUGUUGGCCGGGCGACGGUUGUCCCGGUUUAAGCGUGUAGGUGUGUGUUCCAGGUAAAUCCGGUUCACUUUAACACUGAGGCGUGACGACGAGGCACUACGGUGCUGAAGCAACAAAUGCCCUGCUUCCAGGAAAAGCCUCUAAGCAUCAGGUAACAUCAAAUCGUACCCCAAACCGACACAGGUGGUCAGGUAGAGAAUACCAAGGCGCUUGAGAGAACUCGGGUGAAGGAACUAGGCAAAAUGGUGCCGUAACUUCGGGAGAAGGCACGCUGACACGUAGGUGAAGUGAUUUACUCAUGGAGCUGAAGUCAGUCGAAGAUACCAGCUGGCUGCAACUGUUUAUUAAAAACACAGCACUGUGCAAACACGAAAGUGGACGUAUACGGUGUGACGCCUGCCCGGUGCCGGAAGGUUAAUUGAUGGGGUCAGCGCAAGCGAAGCUCCUGAUCGAAGCCCCGGUAAACGGCGGCCGUAACUAUAACGGUCCUAAGGUAGCGAAAUUCCUUGUCGGGUAAGUUCCGACCUGCACGAAUGGCGUAAUGAUGGCCAGGCUGUCUCCACCCGAGACUCAGUGAAAUUGAACUCGCUGUGAAGAUGCAGUGUACCCGCGGCAAGACGGAAAGACCCCGUGAACCUUUACUAUAGCUUGACACUGAACAUUGAGCCUUGAUGUGUAGGAUAGGUGGGAGGCUUUGAAGUGUGGACGCCAGUCUGCAUGGAGCCGACCUUGAAAUACCACCCUUUAAUGUUUGAUGUUCUAACGUGGACCCGUAAUCCGGGUUGCGGACAGUGUCUGGUGGGUAGUUUGACUGGGGCGGUCUCCUCCUAAAGAGUAACGGAGGAGCACGAAGGUUGGCUAAUCCUGGUCGGACAUCAGGAGGUUAGUGCAAUGGCAUAAGCCAGCUUGACUGCGAGCGUGACGGCGCGAGCAGGUGCGAAAGCAGGUCAUAGUGAUCCGGUGGUUCUGAAUGGAAGGGCCAUCGCUCAACGGAUAAAAGGUACUCCGGGGAUAACAGGCUGAUACCGCCCAAGAGUUCAUAUCGACGGCGGUGUUUGGCACCUCGAUGUCGGCUCAUCACAUCCUGGGGCUGAAGUAGGUCCCAAGGGUAUGGCUGUUCGCCAUUUAAAGUGGUACGCGAGCUGGGUUUAGAACGUCGUGAGACAGUUCGGUCCCUAUCUGCCGUGGGCGCUGGAGAACUGAGGGGGGCUGCUCCUAGUACGAGAGGACCGGAGUGGACGCAUCACUGGUGUUCGGGUUGUCAUGCCAAUGGCACUGCCCGGUAGCUAAAUGCGGAAGAGAUAAGUGCUGAAAGCAUCUAAGCACGAAACUUGCCCCGAGAUGAGUUCUCCCUGAGACUUUAGGUCUCCUGAAGGAACGUUGAAGACGACGACGUUGAUAGGCCGGGUGUGUAAGCGCAGCGAUGCGUUGAGCUAACCGGUACUAAUGAACCGUGAGGCUUAACCUUACAACGCCGAAG
rnacentral:rRNA from 3 species